AAAGCGUGCGCAGGCGGCUUUGCAAGACAGAGGUGAAAUCCCCGGGCUCAACCUGGGAACUGCCUUUGUGACUGCAAGGCUAGAGUACGGCAGAGGGAGAUGGAAUUCCGCGUGUAGCAGUGAAAUGCGUAGAUAUGCGGAGGAACACCGAUGGCGAAGGCAAUCUCCUGGGCCUGUACUGACGCUCAUGCACGAAAGCGUGGGGAGCAAACAGGAUUAGAUACCCGAGU
rnacentral:rRNA from 1 species